AUCUGUUCGCAACGGCUUCCUGAAGCGAAUAUAAUGUGAAUUUGGAGCA
rfam:Cryomorphaceae bacterium BACL7 MAG-120910-bin24 contig00061_1_120910-bin24, whole genome shotgun sequence.